CGGAGGGGCUAGCGUUGUUCGGAAUUACUGGGCGUAAAGCGCACGUAGGCGGACCAUCAAGUUGGGGGUGAAAUCCCGGGGCUCAACCCCGGAACUGCCUCCAAAACUGCUGGUCUGGAGGUCGAGAGAGGUGAGUGGAAUUCCGAGUGUAGAGGUGAAAUUCGUAGAUAUUCGGAGGAACACCAGUGGCGAAGGCGGCUCACUGGCUCGAUACUGACGCUGAGGUGCGAAAGCGUGGGGAGCAAACAGGAUU
rnacentral:rRNA from 1 species